UAUGAUAUAAAAUAUGUAUGUACGAAAACUACAUAUAUAAGAUAAGGAAAAUGCCUAGGAGGAAAAAAAGAAAGGGCGUGGGUGGUCUCCAGAGGCGUCUUCCUCCUGUUCAUCCUCGGCCCGCGCCGCUGUGUCCAUGGUCCAUGGGCCGCCUCCCUCGCGCUCCCCCGCACAGUACGGUCCUUUGGGAGGUCGCCUUCGGUCGUGGCCCAGGGUGUCACGCGCGACGAGUCGGCGCGUGGUGGAGGGUCGUCUUCUGCUGCUUCUGGCUGGAUUCCUGGGCUAUUCAACAGAGAAAGAGGGAGCAAAAAAUGGUGGUCCAAGGAAGCAAGCUAAUCCGAAAGAUAGCAAGUGAAGCGUUUGGCCGGGCGUUUGGGUGGUGCCCGAGAGACAGGCGAAUUUCUGGGUGAUCAAUGCUGGAAUAUGGAUUCUGGAGUUGGAGAUAGCCUUUCUUUUGGUUGAUGUCUUGAAUCAGGGCCUUUUGUUUUGCGCCUGUCUGUCGUGAUCUGGUUGUAAAUAAGAAAGUCUUAUGCUACUAGUCGCAGGUCGAACUUUAUCUUCUAUCCUAGGCCCUCUACUUAUCUAGGUUGAUAGUGUAAGGUGUCUAGAUAGGGAUCUGACCUAGUUGCUAUCUGUCGGAUCGUUUGAUCACGAUGGAUGUCGUUGUUCUAAACUUUCGUAUUUCCUAAUGAAAUAGUGGGCUUCGCCCCUUCGUCAAAAAAA